rnacentral:lncRNA from 1 species
GGUGAUAUUUGGCCAAAUCCAUUACAGACUACCUGGUUCCCAGUAUGGAUGAUGAAGGGGAAGGAGAAGAAGAUGAUGAUGAUGAAGAAGGAUUGGAAGAUAUCGAUGAAGAAGGAGAUGAGGAUGAAGCUGAAGAAGAUGAAGAUGAUGAGGGGGAGGAAGGAGAGGAGGAUGAAGGAGAAGAUGACUAACGAAACACUGAUGGAUUCCAUCCUUCUUUAUUAAUUUUCUCCAGUCCCUGGGAGGCAGUUGCAGUCUUUUUUUUUUUUUUUUCUCCUCUUGUGCUCAUUUGCCCUAUUUUUUGAAGACUUUUUUCUCUCCCUUUAUACCAUGUUUCUCAAUUUAUUUUGGGGGGUUGGGGAGGGAGAUACCUUGAGCAGAAUACAGUGGGAAAAGAAUCUCUACCCCUUUCUGAUCCAAAUUUGUUUAUAUCCCUUUCUGUCUCAACAAAAACUUGAUGGAAUCAACACCACCGUGCUCUGUGGGAAAAAAGAAAAACCUUCUGCUCCCCUAGCUCUGUUGGAAGCUGGAGGGUGCUAGGCCCCUGUGUAGUAUGGCAUAGACUUCUAGCUUUUCCCCUCCCUUCUUUGUAUAUUGGGCUCAGAGAUUACACUGUGUCUCUAUGUGAGUAUGGACAGUUAGCAUUUACCAACAUGUAUCUGUCUACUUUCUCUUGUUUAAAGAAAAGAAAAAAAAAAAACUUUUAAAAAUGGGGUUUUAGAAGUUCA